GUGUCAGCCGCCGCGGUAAGACGUAGGGAGCGAGCGUUGUCCGGAUUCAUUGGGCGUAAAGCGCGCGUAGGCGGCCUCGCAAGUCGGUUGUGAAAUCCCGGGGCUCAACCCCGGGACUGCGUCCGAUACUGCGAGGCUGGAGGUAGGUAGGGGAGAUCGGAAUUCCUGGUGUAGCGGUGAAAUGCGCAGAUAUCAGGAGGAACACCGGUGGCGAAGGCGGAUCUCUGGGCCUUACCUGACGCUGAGGCGCGAAAGCUAGGGGAGCGAACAGGAUUAGAUACCCUCGUAGUCC
rnacentral:rRNA from 1 species